GAUUAACGCUGGCGGCGUGCAUAACACAUGCAAGUCGAACGAUGAAACUCAUUAGAUUUCUUCGGAAUGAAAAUGAAUGGAUUAGUGGCGAACGGGUGAGUAACGCGUGAGUAACCUGCCUUACACAAGGGGAUAGCCUCUGGAAACGGAGAAUAAUACCCUAUGAAACCAGACAAUCGCAUGAUAAUCUGGUCAAAAUGUUUAGUGGUGUAAGAUGGACUUGCGUCUGAUUAGCUAGUUGGUGAGAUAAAAGCUCACCAAGGCAACGAUCAGUAGCCGGCUUGAGAGAGUGUACGGCCACAUUGGGACUGAGACACGGCCCAGACUCCUACGGGAGGCAGCAGUGGGGAAUUUUGCACAAUGGGGGAAACCCUGAUGCAGCGACGCCGCGUGAUUUAGAAGGCCUUCGGGUUGUAAAAAUCUUUUGUAUAGGAAGAAAAUGACAGUACUAUACGAAUAAGGUCCGGCUAAUUACG
rnacentral:rRNA from 1 species